rnacentral:tRNA from 2 species
GCCCCGGUAGUGUAGGGGCUUAGCCACCAGCCAUCAGAAGGCCAUGACCCGGGUUCGAAUCCCGGCCGGGGCG